AGAAGGGAGCUUGCUCCCGGAUGUUAGCGGCGGACGGGUGAGUAACACGUGGGUAACCUGCCUGUAAGACUGGGAUAACUCCGGGAAACCGGAGCUAAUACCGGAUAGUUCCUUGAACCGCAUGGUUCAAGGAUGAAAGACGGUUUCGGCUGUCACUUACAGAUGGACCCGCGGCGCAUUAGCUAGUUGGUGGGGUAAUGGCUCACCAAGGCGACGAUGCGUAGCCGACCUGAGAGGGUGAUCGGCCACACUGGGACUGAGACACGGCCCAGACUCCUACGGGAGGCAGCAGUAGGGAAUCUUCCGCAAUGGACGAAAGUCUGACGGAGCAACGCCGCGUGAGUGAUGAAGGUUUUCGGAUCGUAAAGCUCUGUUGUUAGGGAAGAACAAGUGCGAGAGUAACUGCUCGCACCUUGACGGUACCUAACCAGAAAGCCACGGCUAACUACGUGCCAGCAGCCGCGGUAAUACGUAGGUGGCAAGCGUUGUCCGGAAUUAUUGGGCGUAAAGGGCUCGCAGGCGGUUUCUUAAGUCUGAUGUGAAAGCCCCCGGCUCAACCGGGGAGGGUCAUUGGAAACUGGGAAACUUGAGUGCAGAAGAGGAGAGUGGUAUUCCACGUGUAGCGGUGAAAUGCGUAGAGAUGUGGAGGAACACCAGUGGCGAAGGCGACUCUCUGGUCUGUAACUGACGCUGAGGAGCGAAAGCGUGGGGAGCGAACAGGAUUAGAUACCCUGCUAGUCCACGCCGUAAACGAUGAGUGCUAAGUGUUACGUGAUUUGCGCCCCUUAGUGCUGCAGCUAACGCAUU
rnacentral:rRNA from 1 species